UGGGGAAUUUUGGACAAUGGGCGAAAGCCUGAUCCAGCAAUGCCGCGUGUGUGAAGAAGGCCUUCGGGUUGUAAAGCACUUUUGUCCGGAAAGAAAUCCUUGGCUCUAAUACAGUCGGGGGAUGACGGUACCGGAAGAAUAAGCACCGGCUAACUACGUGCCAGCAGCCGCGGUAAUACGUAGGGUGCAAGCGUUAAUCGGAAUUACUGGGCGUAAAGCGUGCGCAGGCGGUUUGCUAAGACCGAUGUGAAAUCCCCGGGCUCAACCUGGGAACUGCAUUGGUGACUGGCAGGCUAGAGUAUGGCAGAGGGGGGUUAAAUUCCACGUGUAGCAGUGAAAUGCGUAGAGAUGUGGAGGAAUACCGAUGGCGAAGGCAGCCCCCUGGGCCAAUACUGACGCUCAUGCACGAAAGCGUGGGGAGCAAACAGGAUUCAGAUACCCUGGUAGUCCACGCCCUAAACGAUGUCAACUAGUUGUUGGGGAUUCAUUUCCUUAGUAACGUAGCUAACGCGUGAAGUUGACCGCCUGGGGAGUACGGUCGCAAGAUU
rnacentral:rRNA from 1 species